AGACAAGGAAGCUUCAUGGACAACGCCCAUAAAAUUUAAAGAAUUUAUAGGCAAUCGGCAGCUAAAUAAGAUAUUGUUCAACAAAUAUGUGAAGUGGGCGUAAACACGGAACCCUGGCAAUUCCAGAGGUGGGAUCAGGCUUGAGCAUCCCGUGUUAACCGGACACAUUUACCUUGAGCAGAUUGACGUCCCUCUUUGACUUCAAAAUAUGGCCUGCUCGCGGUAUGCAUCGACAGAGGAGACUACAAACCUUACCCGAGUGUCUCGACUUCUACUGGGUCCAUGUACUGAUCAACUUCGUUUUGCAUUACGUAGAUACCUUCGUCCCGCAUCCCUGACUGUUACCAUACGUCCGAAAGAAAAUGAAAUUUUACCUUUCUUAUCAAAAAAACAAAUACGUCUUGUUUUACCACAGGGUAAAACGUAUAAUGGCAAUUAUGAUGAUAUGGACAUCUCCUUACUGUACACAAUGUUAAGAAGCAUCUGGUUGGUAGAUGGAAUACAAUGGAUGUAUAAUCAUGAUAAACAUGGCAAAUAUGAAUCUGCUUAUAUAGAAAGUAUCCAUUUUGUCAGAAAUGAAUGUGGAGGGCAUGCUACGAAAGACUAUCUUUCAUAUGCAGAAUUUAACACCUACUGGUCGACCCUCAGAUCAGCUGUCGAAAACCUUGAUAUGAUAUACAAAACCAAUUACCUGGAAGGUGUUAAAUUUCUAUUUACUGAAGAAAUGGACCCAGUACAAGGCCAACGUUACCGCGAAGAAAUAAGGAAACAAUAUGAAGAAGAACAAAAAACAAAGGAAGUGAUUGGUGAAC